rnacentral:rRNA from 1 species
UACGGAGGGAGCUAGCGUUGUUCGGAAUUACUGGGCGUAAAGCGCACGUAGGCGGCUUUUUAAGUCAGGGGUGAAAUCCCGGGGCUCAACCCCGGAACUGCCCUUGAAACUGGAGAGCUAGAAUCUUGGAGAGGCGAGUGGAAUUCCGAGUGUAGAGGUGAAAUUCGUAGAUAUUCGGAAGAACACCAGUGGCGAAGGCGACUCGCUGGACAAGUAUUGGCGCUGAGGUGCGAAAGCGUGGGGAGCAAACAGG